CCUCUGCGAAAAGAGCGGGAAUUCAAAUUCUCAGAGACCUGUAGUUUUCAACUGUCAGUCCUGACCGGAGCAGCAGUACUUUUUUCAAGGGAAAGCGGGAAGCUGCCUUUACUAAGGAGAAGUAGAAGGCCUUUAUCUCAAAAAAGAAAAAGUUGAGUCCUGCAGAAGUUGCAUUCUUAAGGGAGUACUGUACCACCAUGAAGCCACUGGUGAAAGCUUCAAACAUCCUCCAGUCUGAGUUUUCUGCCUUUAUGGGAUGGCUGCUACCAGUAGUCGAACAACUACUGACCAAACUUGGCAGGCUAGAGACAUCAAGCAAGACAUGCGUGCCACUCAUCAGAGCCCUGCAAAAUGGCAUUCAAAAGCGAUUUGGACCAAUGAUGAAGGAUCCAGAGUUGGCUGCAGCUGCAGUCCUCUUACCCAAGUUCAAGACUUCCUGGACUGACAGAGCAGAUGUUAUAGAGGCUGGUAAUGCCAGGCGUUUUUGUGUAUUGUUGUGUUUGAACACAUGUAUAAGUGAGUAUACUUUAUAACAUCUCAGUCAUGGUUCACCUAAUACAGUUGUGCUUGAAAGUUUACGUGCCCUCCCAUUAAAGAAGGAAAAAAUCAGCUGUUACUGAAAUAAGUUGAAAUGACAAAAGUAGUAAUAAAUAGAAAUUUGAUAAAAAUCAUGACAUUGAUUUUGUAUU